GACGAACGCUGGCGGCGUGCUUAACACAUGCGAGUCGAACGGAAAGGCCCUGCUUUUGUGGGGUGCUCGAGUGGCGAACGGGUGAGUAACACGUGAGUAACCUGCCCUUGACUUUGGGAUAACUUCAGGAAACUGGGGCUAAUACCGGAUAGGAGCUCCUGCUGCAUGGUGGGGGUUGGAAAGUUUCGGCGGUUGGGGAUGGACUCGCGGCUUAUCAGCUUGUUGGUGGGGUAGUGGCUUACCAAGGCUUUGACGGGUAGCCGGCCUGAGAGGGUGACCGGCCACAUUGGGACUGAGAUACGGCCCAGACUCCUACGGGAGGCAGCAGUGGGGAAUAUUGUACAAUGGGCGGAAGCCUGAUGCAGCAACGCCGCGUGCGGGAUGACGGCCUUCGGGUUGUAAACCGCUUUCGCCUGUGACGAAGCGUGAGUGACGGUAAUGGGUAAAGAAGCACCGGCUAACUACGUG
rnacentral:rRNA from 1 species